CCAUAGAGCCAACAGUGUGCUGCGUAAAGCAAAAUGGCGGAUAUACACUCGUCAAUCAAGUAUGUCUUUUGCCUACAGUGAGGCCUGUCCAGUUGUGCACGUGUGAUCCUGCAACCAUAACAGAAUCAGCUGGUAGAGCAAUAAUUAUGGUUUGCAUAAAUGGUCGGUAUGAUUUGCACUUGCCAAACUUGUCUUGCAAAUUAUGUCUGGCACAGUGGACACCUGACAUGAGCGACCUCAUUCGCAGUGGGUACUGGCCAGCAUCUGUGAAUGCUGACACAUUGUUUUCAAUGGAUGUCUUUACUUCAUUUGAAGAGUUGAAAACUGUGGCUCCCAGUUUGUCGCGU